rnacentral:tRNA from 1 species
GGUGGAUUAGCGGUUAAGCACUCAGCUGCUAACUGAAAAGUUGGCGGUUCGAACCCACCAUCCACUC